CAGUCGCCGCGGUAAUACGUAGGGUGCGAGCGUUGUCCGGAAUUACUGGGCGUAAAGCGCGCGUAGGUGGUUUGUUAAGUUGGAUGUGAAAGCCCCGGGCUCAACCUGGGAACUGCAUCCAAAACUGGCAAGCUAGAGUACGGUAGAGGGUGGUGGAAUUUCCUGUGUAGCGGUGAAAUGCGUAGAUAUAGGAAGGAACACCAGUGGCGAAGGCGACCACCUGGACUGAUACUGACACUGAGGUGCGAAAGCGUGGGGAGCAAACAGGAUUAGAUACCCCGGUAGUCCCUGUCUCUUAUAC
rnacentral:rRNA from 1 species